GCCUUCGUAGCUCAACGGAUAGAGCAACGGUCUUCGGAACCGUUGAUGGGGGUUCGAUUCCUCUCGAAGGCG
rnacentral:tRNA from 1 species